rnacentral:rRNA from 1 species
AUCGAACGCUGGCGGCAGGCCUAACACAUGCAAGUCGAACGAGUGGCGGACGGGUGAGUAAUGUCAGGGAAACUGCCUGAUGGAGGGGGAUAACUACUGGAAACGGUAGAUAAUACCACAUACCAUCAGAUGUGCCCAGAUGUGAUUAGCUAGUUGGUGGGGUAACGGCUCACCAAGGCGACGAUCCCUAGCGGGUCUGAGAGGAUGACCAGCCACACUGGAACUGAGACACGGUCCGGAUCCCUACGGAAGGCAGCAGUGGGGAAUAUUGCACAUUGGGCGCAAGCCUGAUGCACCAAUCCCGCGUGUAUGAAGAGGGCCUUCGGGUGUUAAAGUACUUUCAGCGGGGAGGCGUUACCCGCAGAAGAAGCACCGGCUAACUCCGUGCCAGCAGCCGCGGUAAUAC